CCGCAUGCCUUACGUGCGGUCCAAAAAUGUGAUUAAAAUUGGGCCCUCUGAUCUGCACAUUUGGCAUUAAUGGUCUUGGACAAAAGCUGGUCUCACGUGAGAAUUCCCUUCUCUUCUCCUCCCAUUCCAGCUUCGUUUCUCAGGCCAAAUCUCCCAUUUCCCAUUCGCAAAUUCCCUUCUCUUCUUCUCCCAUUUCUCCUCCCAUUUGCAGCUUCAUUUCUCUCUUCCACUCACAUUUCCCAUUCGCAAAUUCCCUUCUCUUCUUCUCUCAUUUCUCCUCCCAUUUGUAGCUUUGUUUCUCUUCUCCAGUCCCAUUUCCCAUUCGCAAAUUUCCUUAUCUUCUCCUCCCAUUCACAGCUUUGUUUCUCUUCUCCAUUCUAGCGACGUUGCAAGCCACCGAUCUCUAGUUCUCAGGAUAGCCGUUCAGCCACACCCAUGCCAGCCCUGCCCCAGAUAAAAUCCGCAACUUCUUUGCUGCUUCCACCGGUCACCGGCCAGCCCUACUCCAGAUUUUCAUCGUUUUCCUUUUGCUUAUCUUUGUUUUUGUUCUUUAUAAAUGAAAUUCAGCAAUUUAUGUUACUAUAGUUUCAAAUCGGUUACCAGAAUAGUGGAAGAAAAUAUUUAAAUUAUUUUGACUUUUUUUUUCCCCUAUGAAUAUUGAUAAGGUCUAUUCUCUCUCUCUCUCUCUCUCUCUCUCUCCUUAGAACUCUCUGCUAUAUCUGAGUCGAAAUGGUUUAAUUUUUUUUUCAUGUUAAGUAGAGCUUUUUGUUCCCUCAACACCCAGAUAUGAUUUAUCAAUAAAUAAGCUUGUUGAAAGUUCAAACUUGGCUGCUUCCACUGGCCAGCCCUGUCCCAGAUUUUCAACUGUUUCCACUAUCGAGAGUGUCCAGGUUAAAUCUGCAACUUCUGCUUUUGCCUUAUAUUUAGUGGUUGUUGAUUGUUUAUUGUUAAUUGUUGAUUGUAUAUUCCAGUAUUAAUUAAAUUAUAAACUUGGGAGAUUGAAACGUUAAUGUUCCAACCAGAUAUGCUGCUAUAUAUAUUUUUUCCUUUUACAAUGUGGUCCCCAAACUAAUUGUCUUGAUUCUGUUCAUCAUAAAAAAAGUCACAUUAUAUGGACCACAUAUAUGUUCUACACAGUUGUGUGGAAGUAGAUCAUGUGAUGAUCUCACUAACAUCUAAUUAUUUUUAUCAAAGGUGCAAAUUUCAUGUGAUUGUAGGACUACCCGAUUCUUCUAACAAAGACUUUCAUGUCAUAUAAAUUCCAUACAAGUUUUUGAAAUGGACAUGUGAUCUUUGGACCACCUAAUUAUUUGUUUUUUUAAUCCAAGGAGGCAAUAAAUUAGGACUAAGCCCUUUCAGCACCUACAUGUUUGCUAUGAAGUUGUUAAUUGGUUCAUUUCAUUCUACUUCCAAUAUGAUUCCAAUGCUACCUCCUUGUUCUUUCUGAAAAUUUAUCAGAAAUAUAUUAAAAAAGACUAAACCGAUUAAUCGUCUUGCAAUCCUAUUUGGACAUAAAACAAUAAGAAUAUAAACCUGAUAUGGUCUUAUGAUCGAGGUCCUAUGAUCCUUUUUUUUUUUUAAUUUGUUUUUUUUUAAUUAGGUCCUACGAUCCUCUGUUUUUGCUUUCUUUAAGAAUCUAAUUGAUAACAUGGAAUAAUUAUUAGUCUAUGGAUGGAUUUAAUGUUCUUUUUAGUAAUCACACAGAUAGUCUAGAUUAAAAAGAAAAGAAGACAAGACUGGCACUUGUCAAGCCGAUGAAAACUCUUGGUAAAACUACUUGUUGAAUAUUAAUUCAAAAUACUGUUUGACUGAUGACAAAGUUUUACUGAGAGCUAUUACAAUCCAAUAGGAAUUACUUCAGCAGAAUAUAGACAAAGAAAAUUGUCUAUUUAUUUAUUUAUUUAUUGUGUUUAUUACUGUAUCCUCAUAAUUGGAUGGUAUUAUAUACAUUUGCCCAAAAAGAACCAAUUUAAAUGCUAAGAUGGAAGAAAUAUCAAGCCCCACAUGCUUAGUGGGAAAAAUGCAUGUGAGCUUUUGAAAAAAUUAAGAUAAUUAAUUGAAGUGAAAAGGUUCGAAAAGAUAUAAUAUAUAUUUAGUGGUUGCUAUUGCUAUUCCUUUAUAGUCAUUGGUGUUGCUAAGUUAGAUUAAUUCAUUCAUGUAGAAAGGUUGCUGGUGGUUUUUUAUGUUUUUCAUUUUUUAUGUCUUUUGGUUUUUUAUAGCAUAUUAAAUCCUGCCUUGUGUUCUUUAGAAGUCAUAGUUGGAGAUUAGUUGUGUAAGCAUGUCAACAAGUACUAGUGAUGUUCAACCGAUCCGGAUGUGCUCAUGUGGGCAAUAUAUGCAUUUAAAAACAUCAAGGACAGAUAAGAAUUCAAAUAAUCAAUUUUGGAAAUGCUUAGAUGGUGAACAGGAAAAAGGAUGUGGUAAAUUCAUUUGGGCAAAGGAAGAGGAAGCUAAACUAGAAAAAAUAGAUGUACUUAUCGGUGAAGUUUGUCGUUUAUCUUUGGCUGAAUAUGAUCCAAAAGUUGAUCUAUUGGAUCAAGAGUUCAUGCUGAAAGGGACAUGGUAUUAAAGGAAGGAUCUGGAGGUAAGUUUCGAAUUAUAUAUGUUUUCUUAGCAUUCUUGGUUUUAGUUUAAAUCUUAACUUGUCAGCAAAUAUGGUAAUAGUAAUCAUUAUCUUCAUUGUGGUGUUCUUAUCCUGUAUGCGCCUCACUCUAGCACAUUCCUUUUGCUUUGGUGAAAUUCAGAUUGGGGUUACAUAACUGUAGUUCAUUUAUGUACUUGAAUUAUUUUUAAUUGAUUGCUUAGAGAAGGCAACAAAGUUUUGCAGUGAUGUUGCACACUAUAGUCCAGUUAGGUAAAUAUUAAGUUCUGAUGAUAUGUGCUAGUUGUAAUUUGUAAAUCUUUAUUUGGUAUUCAGGGUGUGUAAUUCACAAGCAAGCAAAUUUAUGCUGCUGAUUUCACCUAACUUAUCAUAUUUAUUUACUGUUAGUGUCGUUACAUCCCAAACCUUGACAACCUUUUUUCCAAGUUUUUAUCCUAUUUGUUUUCCAUACUAAUGCUACAAUCUAUCUGUAGCACUUUGUUCUCCCCUGUUUUAGCAUAUGUUACUGUUCAUGAUGAAGUUGCUGCUGUUUUGAGCCUGCUGUUGCUGCUGCUGGUGCUGCUGUGUUACUGCUGGUGCUGUUACUGGUGCUGUUGUAUUGCUGCUAGUGCUAUUGCUGGUGCUGCCGAGCUUGUUGUUGCUGCUGCUGAGCUUACUGUGUUGC